GGAUAAUUGUGGUGCUACAUGCAUAUAAAUUAACCGACGAUUCUUAAUCAUGGCACAUGCGGAUGCACAAAAUAUUAUUGUAAUAAAUUUAUAUGCACUACACACUAUUACAUGUGUAUUAUCUGCACAUGCAUGCAUGUGCUAAUAUAAUCAUCCAAUAUUACAUUUUAUAUAUACAUCAACUUUAUAUAUUAUAUAUCGGUAGACACAUGCAAUUGUAUAGUUAGAACAGUAUGUAUUGUAACUUUAUUAUACAAACGUUUACUAAAACAGAAUCAUUAAGUAUAGUUUAGUUAAUAAGAAAAAUAAUAAAUAAAACCUGCAGUGAUCCGAUGAUAAUGUGUUGAAAGACGUGCUGCAACGUAUGCGGGAUUUAUACCACAAAAUAUAGAUUUAAUAAUUGUCUUCUCUUCCACAAGCUUUAAAUUUGUUUCCACAUUUGUUUACCAAAACUUUUAUUUGAACCAAAACUAAUUUCAAACAAUCUAUUUUCCAGCAAAAGCCCAAGUGAUGAACAUAAUUCAGCUUGUGAUAAACCGACACUUUCUUAUCAGUUGCCAUUUAAUUUUGUCAUUAAUCUUAAUCACAACAUUCUGCCAAACCCUUGAUCUUAAUUCUUCUAUUCGCCUUGAACCUUAAUCAUCCAGAGUCAGUCGACCGAAUCCUUCCCUAUGUCUAUCCUUUGCAAUAUAUUGAUGUUGUUUUCCUAACGUCUGUCUUGACGUUGUUUCCUAAAUCUUUUUUUCCGGUCUUUCUCAUCCUCACUUACCAAUACCAUGGUGGACAAGAUAUAUUUAGUGUCCAACGAACACUCGGUAUGAACAGUAUAAAAUCUUAGUGGGAGUGAAGAUACCUAUAUAUUCACACCGUUUAAUUAGGAUCAUUAACCGGCCUGCAUCAGGUCUCUGUCAAACCAGUCCACUCCUUCUCAAGUGUAUAUUUUGAUGUGGCAAAGAAUACACCGUUUCUGUGAAACAUGAUAAAAAGUAUUGGAAAAAAGCAAGAAAAUUUGCCUACGCCCAAGAAUAUGUGCUGGAGUGAGAAAUGGAUGCAAAAAUCGCCAAACUGCAGAAGAAUGGAAAAUAACUUUACUGAGUAAUGCCUAACAUUCAUUUGAUAAUUAAAAUGCAUUACAAACAACAUCUGGCUCUGUCAUUUUGGAUUGACAUUGACAGUUGAACUAACCAUUAUCGUGGAUUAAAGCUAUCUCGAAAAUUUUAACCAAAAUAUCGCUGGUGUUCCAAAAGCUACAACAAGAGUUCCGAGGGAUAUGAACUGUGAAAGAGCCAAAACAGAUCAACAGUACUGUGUAUAUAUUGCUUUAAACCUUGUAUCCAUACUCAACAAAGUGUAUGUUGUAUCGUUUUCUGCGUAUAUUUAACAUAUUACGAAACGAGUACCAGUAUGGCUAGGUGGAGCUGUGAAGCUGAGAUAAACAGGGAGAACUGAAAUAAACUUCAAAAGGAAGCUAGAACUGAAAUAAACUUCAAAGUCGGAUUGACAACGGACAUAAUUCAUAAUUCAUAAACAUAACCAAGAUAUCGACGUGCAAAAGUCUGGGCAAACUUUCUAUGUAACCAAGAUAAAAACACUCCAGUCUCAGACAAUGUCAAAGAAAAGAACAUUAACGUUACUGGCAACCCAAAGAAAUGUUGUCCCACCGUUUUGGUAUGUGAAAAAGACAGAUCCUUUCAUGUAUUUCUAGUACAUUAACAUCAUUAACGUUAACAAACUCAUCUACUGGCGUUUCUCUUCGGUUAGCUCUCUAGAAACAAUCUCUAAAAAGAAUAAAAAUCAUCCGAUUAAACUUGAAGUCAAGUGUUUGGGAGUGUUGUGGUAUAUAGACUCAAAGAAGGGUAAUCUUAUACUAACCAACAAUGUCUUUCGAUUAUUUUCAAUAAUGAAACCGUCACUCGUUCAAUUUUGCUUUAUAUGUUUGAUAUUGCUCAUUGCUUGGCUGCUUGUGCUGGAAAUGUCAUAGUUAUAUUUUUAAUAGUAUUCGUUCAUCUAAGGCUUCUCGAAAAGCCCUGUGAACGAAGAUGCCCACAAAUCUAAUUUUCCCGCGGUGCAAAUUGACUUGAUUUCUGAGGUUGCCCAAAUUACAAUCGUUGCAAAACAACUAUGAAUUAAUGUGACCUUUUCAAGAAUACCAACGAUAGAAAAGUCCUAGUUGCUGUACCAUAAAUAUUUCAACACAUAAUAGAUCGAGACCACUGGCAUUGCUUUUGUACUAUAUUGUAAUUAAUUAGCCUUUCUCACGAAGGCCAAAAUCCGCCAUUUUUGGGGGUACUGUCUGCCCUCGUAAAGAUUCUGGACAAUUCAAACAACGUGAAAAGGGACUUUUAAAAGUUGUAACUGUAAAUUUACAAAUUUACCACUUUAUACAAACAACUAUAAUACUAAAAAGUUGUAUGUCGUGGUGCGGAGACUCUCAAACGUGGGAGAGGUAGUACCCCAGAAGUGGCGGAAAUUUAAGUUCAUCCAUACAGUUUUAAUUGUAAUCUUUUGAGUAAAGAAAAAUGUAAUUUCUUUAUAUAUUUUAAAAUAUAUAGCACCCUAAUUCAGAU
rnacentral:lncRNA from 1 species